UCGUUUUCAUCAGAUCUUAACGGAAAUUACGAAGGCGCGAUUAAAAAAAAAAUACCCAACCCCUUUUUCACGGUCGUAAUCGAAAACUUAAAUAAAAACAAAAUCUGGUGGUGAUCGGUAUCACCUUCGCGGUUCAAACCUUUAACUUACUUCCUCUCGUGAUCCCGCUUACAUUUUCUACUUCUCUUUUAUAUAGCAGCAUCAAGACACCAGUUGCUGCCCGCUUUACGACGGAAAAUAAAUCUUCCACUGUGUCACACCGAAAUGGAUGCGAAAUAAAUAUGGAUGAGAGAGAUCUGUUUUAAUUUUCUCUUUUUGGUUUUGGAAUUUUUUUUUUGGAUUUAAGAAGGGCAGGAGAAGAAAUUUGCGAAAAUGUUGCCGACAAAUGUGAUGUCUUUUAUGAAAAAGAUUGUUGCGACUGAUUCGACACCGGCACAAACGACCACAGAAUGUCCCGCCGAUACAACAUUUGGAAAAUUAAAGCAAACGUUAUCGUCAUCUUUAUUAACAGCUCAGG